rnacentral:lncRNA from 1 species
CAAAUCUUCAUUACUCUUUUCUCUUCCACUAUCUGCAAGCAGAGAAGUCUGAGGUCCCAGGGACUGGCAAAGCCACAGGAUGAAAGGAACUUGAGGCUCUCCUUCACUACCUGCAGGAAAAGCACCUGUCGCAACAAGGAGCCCUUGCACUGAAUGGUUGCAUAAGUAACUACCCACCUUCUAUUGCAUGCCUGGCACAUGCUAACCAAGCUUUACCUCUGAGGAGCUCACAGACCAACAUUCCUCUGGAGGAGGGAGCAGGUUUUGAUGGUAGGUGAUGAGUUUCUUUCAUUCAAUGCCUGGGGUUUCCCACUGGCCCCCAUUAUGUUGCCUGGAAGAUGGGGGCUCUUGUGAAGCAACAGCAGGAUCCUACUGGACAUUCUCCAGCUGCCUAAUCCCUCCAUGUCUCAGUGUUCUCAUCUGUCAAAUGGAGUCGCUCAUCCCGCUCAACCCUCCCCUGACAGGGGUUACUUGCGUGGCCUUCCCAUUGGCCUCCUGCUCACUCUUUCCUGACCCCAAACCCUCUGCAGGCCAGGCUCCCAGCCGGCCCCUCUGGACUUGGAUUUGGCUGCAGCCUGUUGCUUCUCCAUCUUCAGGACCCCAAUCCCCUACCUGCACCACAGUGGGCUGCCAGCCACCUCCUGGGCCCAUCCAGGGACCACUCGCCUGCAGAGCUGCCAUGUACAUUGCCUGCAUUUCUGUGCCUGAGACCUAUACUCCCCACUUCCCAAGAGACUGCAAGCACCAUGAGGACAUCUUUGUUUGUUUGUUUUGUUUUGUUUU